rnacentral:rRNA from 1 species
GAUUAACGCUGGCGGCGUGCAUAACACAUGCAAGUCGAACGAUGAAACUCAUUAGAUUUCUUCGGAAUGAAACUGAAUGGAUUAGUGGCGAACGGGUGAGUAACGCGUGAGUAACCUGCCUUACACAAGGGGAUAGCCUCUGGAAACGGAGAAUAAUACCCUAUGAAACCAGACAAUCGCAUGAUAACCUGGUCAAAAUGUUUAGUGGUGUAAGAUGGACUUGCGUCUGAUUAGCUAGUUGGUGAGAUAAAAGCUCACCAAGGCAACGAUCAGUAGCCGGCUUGAGAGAGUGUACGGCCACAUUGGGACUGAGACACGGCCCAGACUCCUACGGGAGGCAGCAGUGGGGAAUUUUGCACAAUGGGGGAAACCCUGAUGCAGCGACGCCGCGAGAUUUAGAAGGCCUUCGGGUUGUAAAAAUCUUUUGUAUAGGAAGAAAAUGACAGUACUAUACGAAUAAGGUCCGGCUAAUUACGUG